rnacentral:tRNA from 1 species
AGCAACGUAGUUCAAGCAGUAGAAUUCCUUGGAGUAAACCAGGAGAUGCGGGUGCGAAUCCCGUCGUUGCUA